UGGGGAAUAUUGCACAAUGGGCGCAAGCCUGAUGCAGCCAUGCCGCGUGUGUGAAGAAGGCCUUCGGGUUGUAAAGCACUUUCAGCGAGGAGGAAGGGUAGUGUGUUAAUAGCACAUUGCAUUGACGUUACUCGCAGAAGAAGCACCGGCUAACUCCUUGCCAGCAGCCGCGGUAAUACGGAGGGUGCAAGCGUUAAUCGGAAUUACUGGGCGUAAAGCGCACGCAGGCGGUUUGUUAAGUCAGAUGUGAAAUCCCCGCGCUUAACGUGGGAACUGCAUUUGAAACUGGCAAGCUAGAGUCUUGUAGAGGGGGGUAGAAUUCCAGGUGUAGCGGUGAAAUGCGUAGAGAUCUGGAGGAAUACCGGUGGCGAAGGCGGCCCCCUGGACAAAGACUGACGCUCAGGUGCGAAAGCGUGGGGAGCAAACA
rnacentral:rRNA from 1 species